AUGGCUGGUGUUCUAACGUGGGCCCCUGACCGGGGUUGCGGACAGUGUCUGGUGGGUAGUUUGACUGGGGCGGUCUCCUCCCAAAGAGUAACGGAGGAGCACGAAGGUUGGCUAAUCCUGGUCGGACAUCAGGAGGUUAGUGCAAUGGCAUAAGCCAGCUUGACUGCGAGCGUGACGGCGCGAGCAGGUGCGAAAGCAGGUCAUAGUGAUCCGGUGGUUCUGAAUGGAAGGGCCAUCGCUCAACGGAUAAAAGGUACUCCGGGGAUAACAGGCUGAUACCGCCCAAGAGUUCAUAUCGACGGCGGUGUUUGGCACCUCGAUGUCGGCUCAUCACAUCCUGGGGCUGAAGUAGGUCCCAAGGGUAUGGCUGUUCGCCAUUUAAAGUGGUACGCGAGCUGGGUUUAGAACGUCGUGAGACAGUUCGGUCC
rnacentral:rRNA from 1 species